rnacentral:rRNA from 1 species
UACGAAGGGGGCUAGCGUUGCUCGGAAUUACUGGGCGUAAAGGGCGCGUAGGCGGCUACGCACGUCCGUUGUGAAAUCGCUCGGCUCAACUGGGCGGGGUCAGCGGAUACGGUGUAGCUGGAGCAAGCUAGGGGGCAAUGGAAUUCCCGGUGUAGUGGUGGAAUGCGUAGAUAUCGGGAGGAACACCAGUGGCGAAGGCGGUUGCCUGGAGCUUUGCUGACGCUGAGGCACGAAGGCCAGGGGAGCGAACGGG